UGUAAUUGACACAUUCUAAAUGUCAACACGAAAAUAAUUAGUGAAUUAUUACAUAGGUACAAGUUGUCCUAAUGAGGAUAAAACGAAAAUUUUGUGAUUUAAACCUGAAGAAAUCGGCAUUUAUCUUUGAAGUUGUGGGAAAUAUAUUUGCGCAUGCUUCAAUUACUCUUUACAAUGUUUGCAUACAACACCUGCUCUGGCCCUACACACGCCCUCUACCGGGUGGGACCGAGCCUGAUCCUGGUUACAGUCCCCGCAAUCAAAUAUGGGGGCCAUGGUUUUAAGAUAGACAAAAAUUUAUAAUUGGAUAUGGCUUUAAUGUUUUUCAAAAUAUUCCCCAUUAAAAUCAAAACAUUUUUCAUGUGUUUGAACCAAUUGUAAGCAUUUUUUCCAUUCUGAUUAAGGUACAUGUGAUUUGAUCGAAUCAACCGCUGUUUCAUUUAGAAAUUGACCUUUCUACGUUGCUCUAAUGGAACGGUGCUUCGUGUGCGUUCGUGACAAGAACUUUGUCUACUGUCAGAAGAAUUUACUUAAACUAGACUAUAAAUGUGUUUGAUUUCCACCUUAUUAAUUUUAUUCACAUAAUUCAAUUGCAGAUAAAAAUCAUCCUAUUGUCAAUCACCUUUUUGAUCUUUGAAAUUUGAAUUAUAUUUUUUAUUUUUGGUAAAAGUUCAAAGGAGCGUAAUUAUUAUUCAUACCUUUUCAAUUGUAAUAUUCUAAACAAAUUAUAAGAAAAAUAAAGCUAAAAUAUGUGAAUAUUAAA